UCGUUCCAAUGAGAAUGAAGGCUGAGGUGUGCGCCUUUUUUUUUUUUUCCUUCUUAGUCGUGUGUACAUCAUUGGGAAUGGAGGGAAAUAAAUGACUGGAUGGUCGCUGCUUUUUAAGUUUCAAAUUGACAUUCCAGACAAGCGGUGCCUGAGCCCGUGCCUGUCUUCAGAUCUUCACAGCACAGUUCCUGGGAAGGUGGAGCCACCAGCCUCUCCUUGUCCUGGAGGCUGGAAGUGCAAAAGGAAGGUGUCGGCAAGAUCGUUUUUUUCUGAGAGCUCUCUCCUUGGCUUGCAGAUGGCAGCCUGCUCCUGGCACAGUCUUUUCUCUACUCAUGCCCAAAGUUACGGAGGACCCAGCAACCAUCUCCUGCAGCCCCUGGAAACCUCUUGACUCUUCUGUGAUGUCCCCAGUGAUCCAGCAGCCCUGGCCUUCUUUUGAUGGCUUGAACAUUUGGUCUUCAUUGAACAGUUUGUAUAUUGGAAACUUGCCAGCCUCCAUCCACAUUCCAACCUCCGUCUGCAUCCCUCGAAUAACUGGGAGAUGAAACAGGAAGCUCUAUGACACACUUGAUCGAAUAUGACAGACACCGAAAAUCACGACUCAGCCCCCUCCAGCACCUCUACCUGUUGCCCGCCGAUCACAGCCGGAAUGCAGCUGAAAGAUUCCCUGGGGCCUGGUUCCAACCGCCCACUGUGGACUCUGAGGCCUCUGCAUUUGCGGGUGGUCUGCCUGUGAUAUUUUGGUCAUGGGCUGGUCUGGUCGGUUUCCCAUUUGUCUGGCCAGUCUCUAUGUGUCUUAAUCCCUUGUCCUUCAUUAAAAGCAAAACUAAAGAAAACAGAAAAAAAAAAAAA
rnacentral:lncRNA from 1 species